rnacentral:rRNA from 1 species
UACAGAGGGUGCAAGCGUUGUCCGGAAUCACUGGGCGUAAAGCGCGCGUAGGCGGCCACUUAAGUCGGAUGUGAAAGCCCCGGGCUCAACCUGGGAAUGGCAAUGGAAACUGGCGGGCUUGAGUGUGGCAGAGGGGGGUGGAAUUCCGCGUGUAGCAGUGAAAUGCGUAGAGAUGCGGAGGAACACCGAUGGCGAAGGCAGCCCCCUGGGCCAACACUGACGCUCAGGCACGAAAGCGUGGGGAGCAAACAGG